rnacentral:rRNA from 1 species
AGUGAACGCUGGCGGUAGGCCUAACACAUGCAAGUCGAACGGCAGCACAGUAAGAGCUUGCUCUUACGGGUGGCGAGUGGCGGACGGGUGAGGAAUACAUCGGAAUCUACUUUUUCUUGGGGGAUAACGUAGGGAAACUUACGCUAAUACCGCAUACGACCUACGGGUGAAAGCAGGGGAUCUUCGGACCUUGCGCGAUUGAAUGAGCCGAUGCCGGAUUAGCUAGUUGGCGGGGUAAAGGCCCACCAAGGCGACGAUCCGUAGCUGGUCUGAGAGGAUGAUCAGCCACACUGGAACUGAGACACGGUCCAGACUCCUACGGGAGGCAGCAGUGGGGAAUAUUGGACAAAGGGCGCAAGCCUGAUCCAGCCAUACCGCGUGGGUGAAGAAGGCCUUCGGGUUGUAAAGCCCUUUUGUUGGGAAAGAAAAGCAGCAGGUUAAUACCCCGCUGUUCUGACGGUACCCAAAGAAUAAGCACCGGCUAACUUCGUG